UACAGAGACUGCAAGCGUUAUUCGGAUUCACUGGGCGUAAAGGGUGCGCAGGCGGUUCGUUGUGUCGGCGGUGAAAGCCCCGGGCUUAACCUGGGAAUGGCCGUUGAAACUGGCGAACUGGAGUGUGGCAGAGGGGGGGUGGAAUUCCGCGUGUAGCAGUGAAAUGCGUAGAGAUGCGGAGGAACACCGAUGGCGAAGGCAGCCCCCCUGGGCCAACACUGACGCUCAGGCACGAAAAGCGUGGGGGAGCAAAACAGGG
rnacentral:rRNA from 1 species